GGUUAAGCGACUAAGCGUACACGGUGGAUGCCCUGGCAGUCAGAGGCGAUGAAGGACGUGCUAAUCUGCGAUAAGCGUCGGUGAGGUGAUAUGAACCGUUAUAACCGGCGAUUUCCGAAUGGGGAAACCCAGUGUGUUUCGACACACUAUCAUUAACUGAAUCCAUAGGUUAAUGAGGCGAACCGGGGGAACUGAAACAUCUAAGUACCCCGAGGAAAAGAAAUCAACCGAGAUUCCCCCAGUAGCGGCGAGCGAACGGGGAGGAGCCCAGAGCCUGAAUCAGUGUGUGUGUUAGUGGAAGCGUCUGGAAAGGCGCGCGAUACAGGGUGACAGCCCCGUACACAAAAAUGCACAUGCUGUGAGCUCGAUGAGUAGGGCGGGACACGUGGUAUCCUGUCUGAAUAUGGGGGGACCAUCCUCCAAGGCUAAAUACUCCUGACUGACCGAUAGUGAACCAGUACCGUGAGGGAAAGGCGAAAAGAACCCCGGCGAGGGGAGUGAAAAAGAACCUGAAACCGUGUACGUACAAGCAGUGGGAGCCUCUUAAUGGGGUGACUGCGUACCUUUUGUAUAAUGGGUCAGCGACUUAUAUUCUGUAGCAAGGUUAACCGAAUAGGGGAGCCGAAGGGAAACCGAGUCUUAACUGGGCGUUAAGUUGCAGGGUAUAGACCCGAAACCCGGUGAUCUAGCCAUGGGCAGGUUGAAGGUUGGGUAACACUAACUGGAGGACCGAACCGACUAAUGUUGAAAAAUUAGCGGAUGACUUGUGGCUGGGGGUGAAAGGCCAAUCAAACCGGGAGAUAGCUGGUUCUCCCCGAAAGCUAUUUAGGUAGCGCCUCGUGAAUUCAUCUCCGGGGGUAGAGCACUGUUUCGGCAAGGGGGUCAUCCCGACUUACCAACCCGAUGCAAACUGCGAAUACCGGAGAAUGUUAUCACGGGAGACACACGGCGGGUGCUAACGUCCGUCGUGAAGAGGGAAACAACCCAGACCGCCAGCUAAGGUCCCAAAGUCAUGGUUAAGUGGGAAACGAUGUGGGAAGGCCCAGACAGCCAGGAUGUUGGCUUAGAAGCAGCCAUCAUUUAAAGAAAGCGUAAUAGCUCACUGGUCGAGUCGGCCUGCGCGGAAGAUGUAACGGGGCUAAACCAUGCACCGAAGCUGCGGCAGCGACACUAUGUGUUGUUGGGUAGGGGAGCGUUCUGUAAGCCUGUGAAGGUGGCCUGUGAGGGUUGCUGGAGGUAUCAGAAGUGCGAAUGCUGACAUAAGUAACGAUAAAGCGGGUGAAAAGCCCGCUCGCCGGAAGACCAAGGGUUCCUGUCCAACGUUAAUCGGGGCAGGGUGAGUCGACCCCUAAGGCGAGGCCGAAAGGCGUAGUCGAUGGGAAACAGGUUAAUAUUCCUGUACUUGGUGUUACUGCGAAGGGGGGACGGAGAAGGCUAUGUUGGCCGGGCGACGGUUGUCCCGGUUUAAGCGUGUAGGCUGGUUUUCCAGGCAAAUCCGGAAAACCAAGGCUGAGGCGUGAUGACGAGGCACUACGGUGCUGAAGCGACAAAUGCCCUGCUUCCAGGAAAAGCCUCUAAGCAUCAGGUAACAUCAAAUCGUACCCCAAACCGACACAGGUGGUCAGGUAGAGAAUACCAAGGCGCUUGAGAGAACUCGGGUGAAGGAACUAGGCAAAAUGGUGCCGUAACUUCGGGAGAAGGCACGCUGAUAUGUAGGUGAAGCGACUUGCUCGUGGAGCUGAAAUCAGUCGAAGAUACCAGCUGGCUGCAACUGUUUAUUAAAAACACAGCACUGUGCAAACACGAAAGUGGACGUAUACGGUGUGACGCCUGCCCGGUGCCGGAAGGUUAAUUGAUGGGGUUAGCGGCAACGCGAAGCUCUUGAUCGAAGCCCCGGUAAACGGCGGCCGUAACUAUAACGGUCCUAAGGUAGCGAAAUUCCUUGUCGGGUAAGUUCCGACCUGCACGAAUGGCGUAAUGAUGGCCAGGCUGUCUCCACCCGAGACUCAGUGAAAUUGAACUCGCUGUGAAGAUGCAGUGUACCCGCGGCAAGACGGAAAGACCCCGUGAACCUUUACUAUAGCUUGACACUGAACAUUGAGCCUUGAUGUGUAGGAUAGGUGGGAGGCUUUGAAGUGUGGACGCCAGUCUGCAUGGAGCCGACCUUGAAAUACCACCCUUUAAUGUUUGAUGUUCUAACGUUGGCCCGUAAUCCGGGUUGCGGACAGUGUCUGGUGGGUAGUUUGACUGGGGCGGUCUCCUCCUAAAGAGUAACGGAGGAGCACGAAGGUUGGCUAAUCCUGGUCGGACAUCAGGAGGUUAGUGCAAUGGCAUAAGCCAGCUUGACUGCGAGCGUGACGGCGCGAGCAGGUGCGAAAGCAGGUCAUAGUGAUCCGGUGGUUCUGAAUGGAAGGGCCAUCGCUCAACGGAUAAAAGGUACUCCGGGGAUAACAGGCUGAUACCGCCCAAGAGUUCAUAUCGACGGCGGUGUUUGGCACCUCGAUGUCGGCUCAUCACAUCCUGGGGCUGAAGUAGGUCCCAAGGGUAUGGCUGUUCGCCAUUUAAAGUGGUACGCGAGCUGGGUUUAGAACGUCGUGAGACAGUUCGGUCCCUAUCUGCCGUGGGCGCUGGAGAACUGAGGGGGGCUGCUCCUAGUACGAGAGGACCGGAGUGGACGCAUCACUGGUGUUCGGGUUGUCAUGCCAAUGGCACUGCCCGGUAGCUAAAUGCGGAAGAGAUAAGUGCUGAAAGCAUCUAAGCACGAAACUUGCCCCGAGAUGAGUUCUCCCUGAGACUUAGAGUCUCCUGAAGGAACGUUGAAGACGACGACGUUGAUAGGCCGGGUGUGUAAGCGCAGCGAUGCGUUGAGCUAACCGGUACUAAUGAACCGUGAGGCUUAACCUU
rnacentral:rRNA from 1 species